rnacentral:rRNA from 1 species
UCCUACGGGGGGCUGCAGUGGGGAAUAUUGCACAAUGGGCGCAAGCCUGAUGCAGCAACGCCGCGUGAGGGAUGACGGCCUUCGGGUUGUAAACCUCUUUUAGUAGGGAAGAAGCGAAAGUGACGGUACCUGCAGAAAAAGCACCGGCUAACUACGUGCCAGCAGCCGCGGUAAUACGUAGGGUGCAAGCGUUGUCCGGAAUUAUUGGGCGUAAAGAGCUCGUAGGCGGCUUGUCGCGUCUGCUGUGAAAUCCCGGAGCUCAACUCCGGGCCUGCAGUGGGUACGGGCAGGCUAGAGUGCGGUAGGGGAGAUUGGAAUUCCUGGUGUAGCGGUGGAAUGCGCAGAUAUCAGGAGGAACACCGAUGGCGAAGGCAGAUCUCUGGGCCGUAACUGACGCUGAGGAGCGAAAGCAUGGGGAGCGAACAGGAUUAGAUACCCCUGUAGUC